rnacentral:lncRNA from 1 species
AUGAGUGGGUUAUUAAUCAUUUGGCUAAAUCGGAUUUAUAACAACACGUCAUGGAGGCCGCAGUCCUGUCAGGAGUGUACCUGCUAUGGUGAUGUGGCCAUCUGUGGGCCCACCCACUGUCCCAACCCCCACUGUGACCUGCAGAGGGGCGAGCAUUUGAGGAUCCCUGCCAACAAGUGCUGUCCAGAGUGCGCCUCCUCAUCCCAGGGCUCCUGCCAGUAUGAAGGAGUCAUCUAUGGACAUGACAGUCAGUGGAGUCCCUCGCCUUGUUCAGUGUGUACUUGCUCCGGAGGGAGCGUAUCCUGCACCACUCACCCCUGCCCGCAUCUCACCUGUCCCGGGGAUCAAAGCCUGUUCACCCCAGCCGGGGAGUGUUGCCCCAAGUGUGGCAAGUCUUGCUCUUGGCAGGGGAUCGUUUACAGGGAUGGAGAGGAGUGGAAGCCCAGCCUCUGUUCCAGAUGUGUCUGCAGCAAUGGAGAGGUCCAGUGUUCAGUAGCAGAGUGUCAGCAAGUGGCCUGCAAACCGCACGAGAACUUGGUGAUCCAGCCAGGAGAGUGCUGUCCCCAGUGUGUGUCCAACCCUUGUCUGUCAGCUGGAAAACAGUACCAGCACGGUGAGCAGUGGCAGAAGAACACCUGCACCACGUGCGUGUGUGACCGGGGUCAAUCUAAAUGCCACACUAAAACCUGCCCACCCAUAACCUGCGACAAGGGUCAGACCAAAGUGAAGCGUGCCGGGCAGUGCUGUGAUGAAUGCGCUGCUGCUAAGGGAAGCUGCCAGUACCAGGGCGCAGUGCGUUACCAUGGAGACAUGUGGAACAGCACUGGCUGCGAGUUCUGUACCUGCAGCCGGGGUCAGGUCCUCUGUCAGAGGGCCGAGUGUGGACGUGUCGAAUGCCCGCAGGGAUCUGAGCUCGUUAACCUGCCAGGGAAAUGCUGCCCUGAGUGUUCCUCUGCGAAACCUUCCUGUGUGCACAAGGGAAAAUCCUACAAGAACCUUGCUCGAUGGAGUGAUGGCAGUUGUCGUGAGUGUGAAUGCCACGAUGCCCAGGUGACUUGUUAUCUGAGAUCCUGCCGUACCUGCCCUCUGGGCACCCUGGCUGUCAUUCAGGACGGCCAAUGUUGCCCCGAGUGUCACCAAGCCCAGUGCCACACAGACUGCCUGUCGUGCUCGGGAACGCCUGAUCACUGUGACAGCUGCAGGGAGCCACAGGCCUUACUUCAUCUUGGCCGCUGCCUGUCUGUCUGUCCAGUGGGCUUCUACGCUGAAGGACGAGUAUGUGCAGCCUGCCAAUCAUCCUGUGCCACCUGUUCCAGCAGGUGGGAUUGUCAGUCCUGCGGCUCCAGGCUGCCCCUGCUGAACCCCGAUAGGAGUCAGUGCCUGGCUUCCUGUCCACCUGGUUCCUAUCAGCACGACCCAACACACUGUCGCUACUGUCACGAGUCGUGCUCGGAGUGCCGUGGGCCGAGUCAGCAGGAGUGCGUGUCGUGCUCAGACCCAGCCGCCUUGCUGAAAGACGGGGCGUGCGUCCUUGACUGUGGCACAGGUUUCUACAGUCAAGAAGGCGUCUGCCACGCCUGUGAUUCGUCCUGUGCCUCCUGUUUUCCCGACAACCCCAAAUGUAUGAGCUGCCCACCAGGGACUGCCUUGCAUCAUGGGAAAUGUCUCAGCCAGUGUCCAGCUCAGCAUUACCUGGACAGCCAAAGCAGAUGCAGAGGUAAGUCCUGCCACAGCUCCUGCGCCUCCUGCUGGGGUCCCUCGGUAUCCCAGUGCACCUUGUGUCCAGGUGCACUCCUUCUCCACCAGGGACAGUGUGUGGAGGCCUGUGGGGAGGGACUGUAUGCUCAGGACUACACCUGCCACAGUGAGAACUGUCAUCCCUCCUGCCGUUCUUGUGUGGGACCCCUGGCCUCAGACUGCCUCCGCUGCCUCAAACCGGAGGAAGCUCUUCUUCCGCAAUCGAGUCACCUUCAGCACAGCGUCUGCACAGCUGGGUGUCCCACGCGCAGCUUCCUGGAUGACAUGCAGACAUGCAGAGAGUGUCAUCCCUCCUGUUGGCAGUGUGCUGGGCCAUCUGCAGACAACUGUACGUCCUGUCCCUCCCCGUCCAGCCUGUACGAGGGCCGCUGUGUCCCCACAUGCCCACAAGGCUUCUUUAUUCAGGACAACCAAUGCCAAGCGUGCCAUCCCUCCUGCCAGACCUGCUCCGGUCCCUCCCAGAGUGGCCACUGCAGGGCAAACUGCCAAGAGGGGCAUUUCCUUAAUGCUAUCUCUGGAGAGUGCCUCAAGUGCAGCUCGGACUGCCAGCGCUGCACAGCAGACCUCCAGACGGGCGUCGGCAGCAUUUGUCUGUGGUGCAAAGCGCCAAGAAUGUGGCUGCUGGGCGAUCACUGUGUCUCUCACUGUCCUCUGGGUCAUUAUGGCUGGCAUGGAGCCUGCAUCAGAUGCCAUCCAUCAUGCGAGGCCUGCAGUGGGGCUGGGCUGCUCUCUUGUACUUCCUGCCCUGCCAACAGCGUUCUCUUGCCAUCUGGACUUUGUGCCCCCAAAUGUCCCCUUGGAUACUAUAACAAUGGCCAAAGGAUCUGCCAGGUAUGUGACAGCCAGUGCCUGACGUGCGAUAUGCCCGGGGUUUGUACGUCCUGCCGUGACCCGGCCAAGGUGCUGCUGUUCGGAGAAUGCCAGUACGACAGCUGCGCCCAUCAGUACUACCUCAACACCACGACCCGCACCUGCAGAGAGUGUGACUGGAGCUGCAACGCCUGUAAAGGCCCCCUGAGGACUGACUGCCUGCAGUGCAUGGAGGGCUACGUGUUGCAGGGGGGAGUGUGCACGCAGGGGUGCUCCUUUGGCUCCUAUCGAGACGGAGACAGAUGCUGUGAUGAUCACUGCUUGGACUGUCAAGGUCCUGGACAGUGCCAGGAAUGCCAGCCUCCCUACGCCACGCUGCACGGCCAGUGUGUGCUCGAAUGUGGCAGAAACUACUUCCUGGAUGCAUCUUCCAAAGCUUCUUGCUCGUCCGACUGCGUGCUCUGUGACGGGAUCGGACUCUGCAGAGCUUGUCGUAAUCAGACCUACCUCAUGGAAGGAUACUGCACUCCCGACUGUGGACAUGGAUAUUACGCAGACCAGAAGACCAGGACCUGUCACAUGAACGCCCACUCGCCUGCCCUCCAUGUCAACGGGUCCCUGCUGGUUCCCUUUGAUGGUUUUGCCCCGCUGCUCCCCACCCUGCUGCAGGUGAAAGACCCAGACAGUCCGUCUGAGCAGCUGAUCUUUCAGCUUGUUCAGAAGCCGAGUAACGGACGGCUGGUCCUGUUCAGAGGGGAGGAAGGUGAAGAGACGGGAGGCCGAGAAAUAAAGAAGGACGACACGUUCACGUGGGCAGAGCUGAGACACGGACAGGUCCGAUUCCGAUACCAGAAAGACAAAGACAGGAGCGGUGAGUUCACCUUGCGUGUUGCUGAUCCCCAGCUGUUUUCCCAACCGAAAACAAUUCAAGUCCGAGCCGUGUCCAUGCAGGUAACCCCGAGAGUCGUGACCCUCUCCCCUCUUACCGUGGAGGGCCGUGGCAGCCUGGCAACCAUCACCAAGUCAGUCCUGCAGGUCGACGACCCUGACAACGCAGCCGAUGUCCUGGUCAUGGUACUUGAGCUGCCCCGCCAUGGCCGGCUGACCCGUCUCCACAGCGACCGCGCUCUCAGCCGAUUCAAGCUGGAGGAGCUGUCACGGGAACAGAUUCAAUACAUCCACGACGGUUCGGAGGGGGCAGAGGACGGGGCGGUGCUGCAGAUCAACGACGGCCACAGCUACAAGAAUAUUCUGCUCCGAGUCCAAAUACACCACAAGCCUGGAGACUCUCCUCACAUGUUGUCCAUUCCAGUGACCUGGGUGAAAGAGGGAGGCAUGGUGCGACUGGAUAAAAAGUACCUGCAGACAGAUUUCAAAGGAGUCAGCACUGAUAACAUUGUCUACAGCAUCCUCCCCUCAGAGGGGCAACCCAAAUAUGGUGAGGUGUUGCUGGUGUCCAUGCCGGCUGAUGGCCCCUCAGAGGGUUGGCUUCCCUCGCUAACAGACGACCGCAGCUUUACAGCAACGACUUCCUUCACGCAGCAAGACGUGAAUGACGGUGCAGUCUGGUACCGCCACUUUGGCACCGGCAGCAGCGGUGACUCCUUCCUGUUCCAGGUCAGUGCUGAUGCACCCUGUCCACAGAGGACCAGUUUCACACAUGUCCUUGCUCUGGAGGAUCAGGUGACAGAGAUAACGCCUUCAGCGCUGUCCUUCGUCGACUCUGAGACUCCCAGCGAGAAGCUCAUCUACAGUAUCACCAAACCACUACCAUCGGGACAAGGGACCAUCGAGCACCGUGACAGGCCGCACACACACGUGCAACAUUUCACUCAGGCUGAUGUGAAUAACGGCAAGAUCAUCUACAGACCGCCGCAGGCUCCGUCACACCUCCAGGAGCUCUACCAGUACUCCUUCACUGUGUCAGAUGGCGAGCACACCACGCCUGAGCUGGACUUUGCUGUCCUGCUGCUGACAAACCACCAGCAGCCGCCGGUGUUUCAGGUUCUGGACCCGCUGCUGGAGGUCAGCCUCGGAGGACAAGCUGCCAUCGGCGGUCAGCAGCUGGCUGUGAGCGACGUUGACACGGCUCCAGAUGACCUGGAGUUCGAGGUGGUAGAAGCUCCCGUCCAUGGAGAAGUCGUAAUAUCCACAUUUUCUCCGUCUUCAGGUGACACCUUCACUUUCAGCGACGUCACCCGCAAUGUCCUGCUCUACCGUCACUCCGGGCUCUCCACCCAAGAUGAUGCCAUCACCUUCUCAGUUAGCGACGGUAUCUCCAUGGCUGCCACGGUAGUGCAGGUGGUGGUUUUGGGCGCUGGAGGCAGCGGGCCACAGCAGGACCCCAUCGCCACUCUCUCGCUGGAAGUGGGCGAGAAAAGCAGCACUGUCAUCAGACGCUCACACCUGGCUUACACGGAUGACACAUCCCCAGAUGACCAGAUUCGAGUCCAGCUGGUGUCUGUGCCAAUGUACGGCAUCCUGACCAGGAGCCAGUCCCAGCAGGAGCACCAGGAGCUGAGGGAGUACUCCUCCUUCACAAUGGAGGACAUCAACAAGCACAGGAUCAGGUACAUCACUUCGAUAGAGACGGGAAGUCAGCCAGUGACUGAUAUCUUCCACUUUGUUGUUUACGAUGGAGACAACAAUCGCCUUGACAACCAGAUAUGCACCAUCACCAUCACCUCCACACCAAGACAGCCGCCGGUGGUCACUGUCCGAGGCAUUGCAUCUCUUCCUCUGUUCUCUCGUCAAUCAGGCAGCUCCAUUGGCGGCUCACAUGUCGUCACCCCUGAUGUGCCGUUCUCUGUGGAGGACCUUACAUCCGGCCAUAUCUCUUACGUCCAGGAGAGCCAGCUUAAACCUCAAACCAAGCAGGACAUCUUCAGCGUCUACAUCAGUGACGGGCUCAGCCAGACGGAAGCUUUCAGUGUGGAAAUUGACAUCCAGAGUAAAGAGGACAAAGAGCCGGUGGUGUCCGUCAGCAGCAUCCAUAUAGAGGAAAACUCUGGAGUUGUCAUCACCAACUCGUCCCUCAGCGUCCACGAUCAGGACACACCAGAGAACGAGAUCCUCUUCACUAUUAUCAGAAUUCCCAGCUAUGGCAAGCUCCGCAGGCGGCAGUUCUACUCCCAGCCACUGGAGAACGGUCGCGUCCUAACGCAGGGCUCCACCUUCACCUAUCAGGAUGUGGUGGAUCAGCUGCUGGUUUACACGCCUGAAACUGUCAGCGGGGGAGCAGACGAGAUGGCCUUCACCCUCACCGAUGGCAUUCACACCCACACGGGCCGCCUGGAGUUCACGAUGGACGUCACGAGGAGCGAGGGACCUCGAAUGACCGUCAACAGAGGACUGCAGCUUCCAGCAGGGUCAUCAUCUAAGAUCACAGAGCAGAAUCUGAAAGGUACUGACAUCGACUCAGACCACCUGAAGCUCCGGUACAUCUUGACCAAAGACCCCCCGGUCGGCAAGCUGCAGCUCAACAGGAGCAGCCGAGUGGAGCGAGUUUCUGUGAAAGGUCCCGUUCAGAGCUUCACUCAGGAGGACGUCAACAAAGGCUUGCUGCACUACAGCCACGAGAAGGGGGAGAAAGGAGGCAGCCUGUCGUUCAAGUUCAACCUGGUCGAUCCGGAGGGCAACAAACUGAUCGACCAGUCCUUCUUCAUCAGUGUGCUUGAGGACCAUCUCCCUCCAUCUGUAGUGGUAAACAAAGGCCUGGUGCUUGAUGAAAACUCAGUGAAGAAGCUGACCACGCUGCAGCUGUCAGCCAGCGACCAGGACAGCGAGCCGGGCGAGCUCAUCUACCGUGUCACCAAACAGACGAGCCUGGGGCACCUCGAGCAUGCUGCCAGUCCAGGCACCAGGAUCAGCACCUUCACGCAGGCUGACCUGGCAUCACGCAGCAUCCAGUACGUCCACACCAGUGAAGAAGAGAAACAUGCUGACCAGUUCUCCUUCACCGUGUCCGACGGGACAAAUGAGGUUGCCCAGACUUUCUACAUCACCAUCAAGCCUGUGGACGACUCCCUGCCUCUUCUUCAGGUCCCUGGCAUGAGGGUGCAGGAGGGUGUGAGAAAGACCAUCACUGAGUUUGAGCUGAAAGCCACCGAUGCGGACACAGAGGCGGAGUCUAUCGUCUUCAGCGUCGUCCAGGCUCCUCGACACGGCACCAUCGAGCGCACCAUCAACGGCCAACACUACCGACAGACCAGCAGCUUCACCAUGGACGACAUCUACCAGAACCGCAUCAGCUACAACCACGACGGCUCCAACUCGCUCAAAGACCGCUUCACCUUUACCGUGACCGACAGCACCAACUUGCUCUUCAUGGUGGAGGAUGACGGCAAAGAGAUAGUGACAGCCGCUCCCCAGAAGUUCAAGAUAGAUAUCCUGCCAGUUGAUGAUGGAACGCCGUUAAUUUUCACCAACCUGGGACUGCAGUGGCUGGAGUACAUGGAUAACAAGGCCACCAAUCUGAUCACCAAGAAGGAGCUGCUGACCAUGGACCCAGACACAGAUGAUGGACAGCUGGUUUAUGAAAUCACCACAGAGCCAAAGCACGGCUUCCUGGAGAGCAAGCUGAAACCUGGGAACCCCAUUACCGCAUUCACACAAGCCGAUAUCAAUCUGGGUCUGAUCCGGUACGUGCUUCAUCAGGAGAACGUCCAGGAAACCAUGGACAACUUCAAGUUCCUGGUCAAAGACAGCAAGCCAAAUGUGGUCAGUGACAAUGUCUUCCACAUCCAGUGGUCCCUCAUCAGCUUUGAGCACAAAAGCUACAAUGUGAGUGAGAAGGCCGGCACAGUGGCGGUGACCGUGAAGCGAACCGGUAAUCUCAACCAGUACGCCAUCGUGCUCUGCCGCACUGAACAGGGCAGCGCCACCUCCACGAGCAGCGUCGGAUCCCGACCCGGACAGCAGGACUAUGUGGAAUACGCUGGGCAGGUGCAGUUUGAUGAGCGUGAGGACACAAAGGUGUGCACUAUAGUCAUUAACGACGACAAGGUGUUUGAGGGGAUCGAGAGCUUCCAUGUGGAGCUCAGCAUGCCCGUGUAUGCGCUGCUGGGUGGAAACACGCGCGCUGUCGUCAACAUCAACGACACAGAAGACGAACCCACUUUGCAGUUUGACAAGAAGAUUUACCACGUCAAUGAAAGCUCAGGCUUAAUCCAGGCUCCCAUUGAAAGGAAAGGUGAUACCUCCAGCACAGUCUCUGCUCUCUGCUACACCGUAGCCAAGUUAGCGCAGGGCAGCAGCCUCCACGCUCUGGAGUCCGGCUCUGACUACAAGAGCCGCGGCAUGACCACCGACAACCGAGUGAUCUUCGGUCCUGGAGUCAGCAUGUCCACCUGUGAUGUUAAGCUCAUCGAUGACAGCGAGUACGAACUGUCCGAGGAGUUCGAGCUGGUGCUCUCAGACGCCUCCGAUAAUGCACGCAUGGGCGACGUGUCGGUGGCCAAGGUCAUUAUCGACGGACCCAACGAUGCAUCGACUGUUUCUCUUGGAAACGCCACGUUUACCUUCAGUGAAGAUGCUGGCACAAUUGAAAUACCAGUGCUGCGUCAUGGCAGCGACCUGUCCUCGCUGACCUCUGUGUGGUGCGCAACCCGACCUUCAGACCCUCCGUCAGCCAGCCCCGGGGUCGACUACAUUCCCAGCUCCAAGAAAGUGGAAUUCAAACCUGGAAAAACUGACGAGACAUGCAGUUUAACCAUCAUGGAUGACAUCCAGAACCCGUCCAUCGAGGGGUCUGAGUCCUUCGUGGUGUUCCUCAGUUCUCCUCAGGGUGCUGUCCUUCAAGAGCCCUACGAAGCCAACGUCAUCAUCACGGACACGUUUCAGGACAUUCCUAACAUGCAGUUUGAGAAGAGCUCCUACACCGUGAAGGAGAAAGAUAACCUUCUCCACAUCCCCAUCAUCCGGACCGGCGACCUCUCCUUCAAGUCAUCUGUGCGCUGUUUCACCCGGACCAUGUCCGCCAUGGUGAUGGACGACUUUGAGGAGAGAAGGAAUGCAGAUGAGUCGCGCAUCACUUUCCUCAAAGGAGAGAAGGUGAAGAACUGCACAGUUCACAUCACUGACGACUCAGUGUUCGAGCCUGAGGAGGAGUUUCAGGUGCAUCUCGGUACACCGCUCAGUGACCACUGGAGCGGCGCCAUGGUGGGAGCUAACGAUAUUGUCACUGUAACCAUCACCAACGAUGAAGAUGCUCCCACCAUUGAGUUCGAGCAGGCGUCCUAUCAGGUGAGAGAGCCUCCCGGUCCAGAUGGCAUCGAAGUGCUCAACAUCAAAGUGAUCCGCAGAGGAGAUCUGGACCGAACGUCCAAGAUCCGUUGCAGCACCCGGGAUGGAUCGGCCCAAUCUGGAGUCGACUACAAUCCCAAGAGUCGAGUGCUUAAGUUCACCCCGGGCAUGGACCACAUCCUCUUUAAAGUGGAGAUUUUGUCCAAUGAGGACAGAGAGUGGCACGAGUCCUUCUCAUUGGUCCUUGGGCCUGAUGACCCGGUGGAGGCAGUGCUUGGGGAGAUCACAAUGGCCACAGUGACCAUUCUGGAUCAGGAGGCGGCAGGAAGUCUCAUCCUACCUGCCCCACCUAUUGUGGUCUCUCUCGCUGACUACGAUCAUGUCCAGGAGGUGAUCAAAGAGGGCAGCAAGAAGACUCCCUCUCCAGGUUACCCUCUGGUGUGUGUCACCCCCUGUGACCCUCACUACCCCAAGUACUCUGUGAUGAAGGAGCGCUGUGAGGAGGCGGGAAUCAACCAGACCCAAGUUCACUUCUCGUGGGAAGUGGCGGCUCCCACUGACACCAGUGGCGCCCGAUCCCCCUUUGAGACGGUCACCGAUACAACCCCAUAUACUAGCGUCAACCAUAUGGUUCUGGACAGCAUUUAUUUCAGCCGACGCUUCCACGUUCGCUGCGUGGCUCAGGCCAGAGACAAAGCUGGACACCUGGGAACACCGCUGAGGAGCAACAUCGCCACCAUCGGCACAGAGGGCUCCAUCUGCCACACACCUGUCACCACGGGAACCGCCAGAGGCUUCCAGGCUCAGUCCUUCAUCGCCACACUCAAAUACUUAGACGUCAAGCACAAAGAGCACCCCAACCGGAUCCACAUCUCAGUCCAGAUCCCCCAUCAGGAUGGAAUGCUCCCCCUGGUUUCCACCAUGCCGCUGCACAACCUUCACUUCCUGCUGUCAGAGUCGAUCUACAGGCAGCAGCACGUCUGCUCCAAUCUGGUCACCCUCAAAGACCUUCAGGGGAUCGCCGAGUCAGGCUUCCUCGAUGAUGUAUCGUAUGACAGCAUCUCUCUGGGGCCAGGCUACGACCGCCCCUACCAGUUCAACCCCAACGUCCGCGAGGGCAAGAGCCUCCAGCUCUAUAAGCACCUCAACCUCAAGAGCUGCAUCUGGACCUUCGACGCCUACUACGACAUGACAGAACUCAUCGACGUGUGCGGGGGCUCAGUCACCGCGGAUUUCCAGGUUCGGGACUCUGCUCAGUCCUUCCUGACGGUGCAGGUUCCUCUCUAUGUCUCCUACAUCUACGUCACAGCACCGAGAGGCUGGGCCUCUCUGGAGCACCACACUGAGAUGGAGUUCUCUUUCUUCUAUGACACCGUGCUCUGGAGGACAGGUAUCCAGACUGACAGCGUCCUCUCAGCCAGACUGCAGAUCAUCAGGAUCUAUAUCAGGGAAGACGGUCGGCUGGUAAUUGAGUUUAAAACGCACGCCAAAUUCAGAGGUCAGUUUGUGCUUGAGCACCACACCCUGCCGGGCCACAAGUCCCGCCUCAUGGCCCCCGACCACCUCGGAGGCAUCGAGUUUGACAUCCAGCUGCUGUGGAGCGCUCAAACCUUUGACUCACCGUACCAGCUGUGGAGGGCUACCAGCUCCUACAGCAGGAAGGACUAUUCUGGAGAGUACACCGUCUUCUUGGUCCCCUGCACUGUUCAGCCAACUCAGCCGUGGAUUGAUCCCGGUGACAAACAGCUGUCCUGCACAGCUCACGCUCCAGAGAAGUUUCUGGUGCCGAUUGCCUUCCAACAAACCAACAGGCCUGUUCCUGUGGUUUACUCGCUCAACACGGAGUUCCAGCUGUGCAACAAUGAGAAGGUGUUCAUGAUGGACCCGGCUACUGCUGAUGUGUCCAUGGCUGAGAUGGAUUACAAGGGAGCGUUCUCCAUGGGUCAGACUCUGUACGGCAGGGUUUUGUGGAACCCUGAGCAGAACCUGAACGCAGCCUACAAACUGCAGCUGGAGAAGGUUUACCUGUGCACUGGCAGGGACGGAUACGUUCCCUUCUUCGACCCCACGGGGACUCUGUACAACGAGGGGCCGCAGUACGGCUGCAUUCAACCCAACAAACACCUCAAACAUCGCUUCCUGCUGCUGGAUCGUAAACAGCCCGAUGUCUGUGACAAAUUUUUCCACGACGUUCCUUUCGAGGCUCACUUUGCCUCAGACAUCCCGGAGCUGCAGUCCAUGACGGCCAUGCCAGGUGUUGACGGCUUCACGAUGAAGGUUGAUGCGCUCUACAAGGUGGAGGCGGGGCACCAGUGGUACCUGCAGGUAAUUUAUGUGAUUGGCCCCGAGUCGCGGUCCAACCCCAGGAUUCAGCGCUCUGUGACCUAUCAGCUCAGCCGUUCUAAACGCGACCUGGUGGAUCGCAGCGGCCGGCUGACGCUUGACGAGUCGCUCAUCUACGACAACGAGGGAGAUCAAAUAAAGAACGGCACCAACAUGAAGUCGCUCUACCUGGAAGCCGGGCCCUCCCCCACCUUUAACGCCCACGUGGGCAGCUCCGUGGGGGAGAAGAAGAGCAAGAAGAAGGAACCAAAAAUCUAUGAGGAGUAUCCGCUCAACACCAAAGUGGAGGUGUGCAUGGACAAGUGUGUGGAGAAGAACUUCGGCACCAAGCACUGCACGGUGAGAAACAUCAACGUCCUGAACCGCAACCAGGAGGCCAACAGCAAGGCCAAGGUCAAACAGGUCAACCUGGAGGUCAAACUCCACAACAACCUCAACGACGGCACUGAGGUCUGA